rnacentral:lncRNA from 1 species
UUGUACUCGACGGUUCAUAAACUAGCAUAAGGCAACAAAGAAGAGAGUCCCGCGACACAUACUUCACAGAGAGUCCACCAAAAGCACAUAUAUAGUCACUCAGUAGACGACAACCCACAAAUACACUUUGAAAAAAAUUAGUGGUAAUCAUCAAGUCUGCUCCAACACAUUCCAACAAAAUCACAAAUGUAUCAAUUUGAAUAGGAUUUUUCCAUAGUUGAGUACAUUGACACGGAAAAAGUCAUUGUAAAAAUCCUCAAAAUGAAUAAAGUCUAAUUUAUUUAAUAAAUAAAAUAAAAAACUCCGAA